AACGCACCUUGCGCUCUCGGGUCAUUCCUGGGAGCAUGUUUGUUUGAGUGUCGCGUACCUUCUCAACCCCGCCUUGUUUACUCAAGGUAGACUUUAGGGUUGGAUCUUGACGCCUUGCCCCCCUCCCUCGGAGAGGUGGCUGCGUUGAAUUACAAAAAGCUGUAUCCUUGUACUGCGCGGCUUGACCCGUUGUUAUAAAGCGUAAAAGCCUCAAUGGGAACGCCAGUCGGAAUGAGCUUACCACAAAGUGUUAUACUUUUAUACUUUGACCUCAAAUCAAGCAGGACUACCCGCUGAACUUAA
rnacentral:misc_RNA from 1 species